rnacentral:rRNA from 1 species
UACGUAGGGUCCGAGCGUUGUCCGGAGUUACUGGGCGUAAGACGCGCGCGAGCGGCCGGCCGCAAGCCCGGCGUGAAAGCCCCCGGCUCAAACCCGGGGAACGUCGUCGGGGGACUGGGGGGCUUGAGAACGGCAGGGGUCGGUGGAAUUCCCGGUGUAGUGGUGAAAUGCGUAGAGAUCGGGAGGAACACCCGUGGCGAAGGCAGCUCUCUGGGACGGUACUGACGCUGAGACGCGAAAGCGUGGGGAGCGAACAGG